rnacentral:rRNA from 1 species
UACAGAGGGUGCGAGCGUUGUCCGGAAUCACUGGGCGUAAAGGGCGCGUAGGCGGCUUGAUAAGCGUGCGGUGAAAGCCCGGGGCUCAACCCCGGGUCGGCCGUGCGAACUGUCGAGCUGGAGCACUGUAGAGGCAGGUGGAAUUCCGGGUGUAGCGGUGGAAUGCGUAGAUAUCGGGAGGAACACCUGUGGCGAAAGCGGCGCACUGGACCACAACUGACGCUGAGGCGCGAAAGCUAGGGGAGCAAACAGG